rnacentral:lncRNA from 9 species
UUUUUUUUUUUUUUUGGUUUCUUAAGGCCACAGCAAUGCUCAAUCCACACCACGUUUGAGAUCUAUGCUGCAGUGCAUGGCAAUGCCUGAUCCCUUAACCAACUGGGCGAGGACAGGCAUCAAAUCUGCAUCCUCAUGGAUACCAGUUGUGUUUGUUAACCGCUGAGCUAUGAUGGGAACACUGAGAGAUGCUGAAGCUCCAUGAAUAACAUAGUAAGUAUCUCAGCAUAUAUUCCACCCAGCAUUUCAGUUAUCAAGGCUAUUAAGAAAGUGGGAAAUAUUUUAGAUACUUUUUAGUGAAACUGUAAAUGACUAAAAGUAAUAUAUACAGAAAUUUAAAAUGUAAAUACUAUUUGUAUAUGCCCCAAAAUUAAAAUGAAUAAAAAUGAUUGUUACUGUUAAAAAUUUAUGCUGAAUCUUUCCUUAGGUGUUAAUACUACAUAAAAAGUUCUGUUUCAAUGUGUUCAAAUAGGAUUUAUAAAUCUGUAGGAAUUGAUUAUAAAUUUAUAAAUCUGUAGGAAUUGAUAGCUAGCAGAAGUUAAUGGAAAGGACAAACAAAAGUGCGUAAGCGAAAAAUUUCAGAUCACUAAAAUUAAUCUCUUUUUUAUUUUAAAAUAUUUGCAAUCUGUAACAUUAUGUCCAUAAUUCUGUUUCUCAUUCUGAUAAAUAGUUUCUUUAUAAUGCCUACUGAAUUUUUAGUAUACCCUGAAACUGUUGCUUUGGACUGCAGUAAUUACUCUGGGUAGUCCCUUAUAAUUUAUCACAUACUCUGACUUAUCAUAUACUCUAAUUUAUCAUAUACUCUGUUUGAAAACACAGAAACAUUGCCUCUGUCACACAAAAUGACAAAAACUAGAAGCGGUGCUAAUCUCUUUAGUGAAACUGUAACCAAGAACUCACCAAAACUGUGAACACGGGGCACAAUGGUUGUGUAUUUUCACCAUGACAACUCAUGGGGAUUCACUCACGUUAGAGCAUGGAACGCAAUUCUUAAAAUACCUAGCAAAAGGAUUAUUUUUAAAAUAUACCACGGAGUUCCCAU